AUGCUAUGUUCGAGCACAUGCACUAAAAUUGGAAUGAUAACAGAGGUUUGCAUGGCCCUUAUACAAGGAUGACAUGCAAAUUCAUGAAGCGUUCCAUAUUUUU
rnacentral:snRNA from 1 species